AAAUUGAAGAGUUUGAUCAUGGCUCAGAUUGAACGCUGGCGGCAGGCCUAACACAUGCAAGUCGAACGGUAACAGGAAGCAGCUUGCUGCUUCGCUGACGAGUGGCGGACGGGUGAGUAAUGUCUGGGAAACUGCCUGAUGGAGGGGGAUAACUACUGGAAACGGUGGCUAAUACCGCAUAACGUCGCAAGACCAAAGAGGGGGACCUUCGGGCCUCUUGCCAUCAGAUGUGCCCAGAUGGGAUUAGCUUGUUGGUGAGGUAACGGCUCACCAAGGCGACGAUCCCUAGCUGGUCUGAGAGGAUGACCAGCCACACUGGAACUGAGACACGGUCCAGACUCCUACGGGAGGCAGCAGUGGGGAAUAUUGCACAAUGGGCGCAAGCCUGAUGCAGCCAUGCCGCGUGUAUGAAGAAGGCCUUCGGGUUGUAAAGUACUUUCAGCGGGGAGGAAGGUGUUGUGGUUAAUAACCGCAGCAAUUGACGUUACCCGCAGAAGAAGCACCGGCUAACUCCGUGCCAGCAGCCGCGGUAAUACGGAGGGUGCAAGCGUUAAUCGGAAUUACUGGGCGUAAAGCGCACGCAGGCGGUCUGUCAAGUCGGAUGUGAAAUCCCCGGGCUCAACCUGGGAACUGCAUUCGAAACUGGCAGGCUUGAGUCUUGUAGAGGGGGGUAGAAUUCCAGGUGUAGCGGUGAAAUGCGUAGAGAUCUGGAGGAAUACCGGUGGCGAAGGCGGCCCCCUGGACAAAGACUGACGCUCAGGUGCGAAAGCGUGGGGAGCAAACAGGAUUAGAUACCCUGGUAGUCCACGCCGUAAACGAUGUCUACUUGGAGGUUGUGCCCUUGAGGCGUGGCUUCCGGAGCUAACGCGUUAAGUAGACCGCCUGGGGAGUACGGCCGCAAGGUUAAAACUCAAAUGAAUUGACGGGGGCCCGCACAAGCGGUGGAGCAUGUGGUUUAAUUCGAUGCAACGCGAAGAACCUUACCUGGUCUUGACAUCCACGGAAGUUUUCAGAGAUGAGAAUGUGCCUUCGGGAACCGUGAGACAGGUGCUGCAUGGCUGUCGUCAGCUCGUGUUGUGAAAUGUUGGGUUAAGUCCCGCAACGAGCGCAACCCUUAUCCUUUGUUGCCAGCGGUUAGGCCGGGAACUCAAAGGAGACUGCCAGUGAUAAACUGGAGGAAGGUGGGGAUGACGUCAAGUCAUCAUGGCCCUUACGACCAGGGCUACACACGUGCUACAAUGGCGCAUACAAAGAGAAGCGACCUCGCGAGAGCAAGCGGACCUCAUAAAGUGCGUCGUAGUCCGGAUUGGAGUCUGCAACUCGACUCCAUGAAGUCGGAAUCGCUAGUAAUCGUGGAUCAGAAUGCCACGGUGAAUACGUUCCCGGGCCUUGUACACACCGCCCGUCACACCAUGGGAGUGGGUUGCAAAAGAAGUAGGUAGCUUAACCUUCGGGAGGGCGCUUACCACUUUGUGAUUCAUGACUGGGGUGAAGUCGUAACAAGGUAACCGUAGGGGAACCUGCGGUUGGAUCACCUCCUUACCUGAAAGAAGC
rnacentral:rRNA from 2 species